CCUACGGGCGGCAGCAGUGGGGAAUAUUGCGCAAUGGGCGAAAGCCUGACGCAGCGACGCCGCGUGAGGGAUGAAGGUCUUCGGAUCGUAAACCUCUGUCAGCAGGGAAGAACGGUCACUGUGCUAAUCAGCAGUGAAUUGACGGUACCUGCAAAGGAAGCACCGGCUAACUCCGUGCCAGCAGCCGCGGUAAUACGGAGGGUGCGAGCGUUAAUCGGAAUUACUGGGCGUAAAGCGCUCGUAGGCGGUAUGUCAAGUCAAGGGUGAAAUCCCCGCGCUCAACGUGGGAACUGCCUUUGAAACUGGCAAACUGGAGUGUGGGAGAGGAUAGUGGAAUUCCAGGUGUAGGAGUGAAAUGCGUAGAUAUCUGGAGGAACAUCAGUGGCGAAGGAGACUAUCUGGCACAUAACUGACGCUGAGGAGCGAAAGCGUGGGUAGCAAACAGGAUUAGAUACCCUAGUAGUC
rnacentral:rRNA from 1 species